rnacentral:snRNA from 1 species
AUGUUUCCGCAGAGGCAAUAUCGUAGCCUGUCAGCUUAAUCCGAGGCGCGAUCAUUGCUGGUUGAACGCUGGAGGCAGUCGU